UAGAGCCUACCCAGACACCAUGAUGGGAUC
rnacentral:piRNA from 1 species